GACGAACGCUGGCGGCGUGCUUAACACAUGCAAGUCGAACGGUGAAAGGGAGCUUGCUCCCUGGAUCAGUGGCGAACGGGUGAGUAACACGUGGGCAACCUGCCCCAGACUUCGGGAUAACGCUUCGAUAGAGGUGCUAAUACCGGAUACGAACUCCUUGGGCAUCCUUGGAGUUGGAAAGUUUUUCGGUCUGGGAUGGGCCCGCGGCCUAUCAGCUUGUUGGUGAGGUAACGGCUCACCAAGGCGACGACGGGCAGCCGGCCUGAGAGGGCGACCGGCCACACUGAGACGGGGACAGGGCCAAGAGUCCUAAGGGAGGCAGCAGUGGGGAAUAUUGCGCAAUGGGCGAAAGCCUGACGCAGCAACGCCGCGUGAGGGAUGACGGCCUUCGGGUUGUAAACCUCUUUCAGCAGGGAAGAAGCGAAAGUGACGGUACCUGCAGAAGAAGCACCGGCUAACUACGUGCCAGCCGCCGCCGUAA
rnacentral:rRNA from 1 species